GUCGCGGGAGCCAAGGCUCCAGGCAGCGAAGAGGUUUGGCUGGGGUUGCUGGAGUCUGAGAAGCUGGAGACUCUCCCGGCACGCGGAGAGGAGAACCCGGGGACCCGGAGACCUGGGACACGGCUGGGCCUGGGAAGAGAAUGGAAGAGUUUGGGAAACCCUGAGGGUAUGAGGGCGUCCCAGAUGCGGCCACGUUGCAGGGAGGCGUGCGAGGCUGGGGCACAGGCAGCCUCGGAGACGACUUGAGCUGAAACUUGGGGAGUGUUGGAAGUCUUUCUUGGCUCCCCGGCCUGGCCAAGGGUAGGAUUACAGAUAGCCGCGGAGUCGGUGGACCCCCGCUUUUUCCCGCCAUCUGGUCUCCUCGGCUGGGGGCCGCACCUCUGGGCAGAUCUGCGGCCACACUCUUGCUUUCCGAGUUCCCUGACCCCAAACAUGCUUCAGAUGAAGAAAAAGGCUCAACCAGGUUAAAUAAUUUGACCGAAAUGUCACGCAAUUAAGAAGUGGUACAGCUGGAAUUCAGACGCAGGUCCCUCUGACUGGUGAUAAACUUACUACUUUCUCUAUG